rfam:Populus trichocarpa scaffold_13_contig_8, whole genome shotgun sequence.
UAAUCUGUCUAGGACAAAUUCUCAUUUAGUUGUGGCAGACUCACACAUAACUACUCAGAAUUACCCGUUAUCGCAAGCCCAACUAAAUCUUCCUUUAGUGAAGGCUUAUAAUUUGGGUUUUUAAGAUUCUUAGUAGGUU